rnacentral:rRNA from 1 species
CCCCAGUAAACGGCGGCCGUAACUAUAACGGUCCUAAGGUAGCGAAAUUCCUUGUCAGGUAAAUUCUGACCCGCACGAAUGGCGUAACGACUUGGGCGCUGUCUCAACGAGAGAUCCGGUGAAAUUUUAAUACCUGUGAAGAUGCAGGUUACCCGCGACAAGACGGAAAGACCCCAUGGAGCUUUACUGCAGCUUGAUAUUGGAUUUGGGUACGAUCUGUACAGGAUAGGUGGGAGCCUGAGAAGCCGGAGCGCCAGCUUCGGUGGAGGCGCCGUUGGGAUACCACCCUGAUCGUAUCUAGAUUCUAACCUCUACCCCUGAAGCGGGGUAAGGGACCGUGUCAGGCGGGCAGUUUGACUGGGGCGGUCGCCUCCUAAAGAGUAACGGAGGCGCCCAAAGGUUCCCUCAGAAUGGUUGGAAAUCAUUCGCAGAGUGCAAAGGCAAAAGGGAGCUUGACUGCAAGACUUACAAGUCGAGCAGGGACGAAAGUCGGGCUUAGUGAUCCGGUGGUGCCGAAUGGAAGGGCCAUCGCUCAACGGAUAAAAGCUACCCUGGGGAUAACAGGCUUAUCUCCCCCAAGAGUCCACAUCGACGGGGAGGUUUGGCACCUCGAUGUCGGCUCAUCGCAUCCUGGGGCUGAAGUAGGUCCCAAGGGUUGGGCUGUUCGCCCAUUAAAGCGGUACGCGAGCUGGGUUCAGAACGUCGUGAGACAGUUCGGUCCCUAUCUGUCGCGGGCGCAGGAAAUUUGAGAGGAGCUGUCCUUAGUACGAGAGGACCGGGAUGGACGCACCGCUGGUGUACCAGUUGUUCCGCCAGGAGCACAGCUGGGUAGCUACGUGCGGACGGGAUAAGCGCUGAAAGCAUCUAAGCGUGAAGCCCCCCUCAAGAUGAGAUUUCCCAAUUCAGUAAGACCCCUUGAAGACGACAAGGUAGAUAGGUUCGGGGUGGAAGUGUGGCAACACAUGGAGCUGACGAAUACUAAUCGGUCGAGGGCUUAACCUAA